CACAUGCAGUCGAGCGAAGUGCUUGGAGAUGAUUUCUUCGGACUGAUUCACCAAGUAUCUUAGCGGCGGACGGGUGAGUAACGCGUGAGAAACCUGCCUUUCACAAAGGGAUAGCCUCGGGAAACUGGGAUUAAUACCUUAUGAAACUGUAUUACCGCAUGGUAGAACAGUCAAAGCGCUUAAGCGGUGAGAGAUGGUCUCGCGUCCCAUUAGCUAGUUGGUGAGAUAAAAGCCCACCAAGGCGACGAUGGGUAGCCGGCCUGAGAGGGUGACCGGCCACACUGGAACUGAGACACGGUCCAGACUCCUACGGGAGGCAGCAGUGGGGAAUAUUGCACAAUGGAGGGAACUCUGAUGCAGCGACGCCGCGUGAGUGAUGAAGGCUUUCGAGUCGUAAAACUCUGUCCUUGGGGACGAUAAUGACGGUACCCAAGGAGGAAGCCCCGGCUAACUACGUGCCAGCAGCCGCGGUAAUACGUAGGGGGCGAGCGUUGUCCGGAAUUACUGGGCGUAAAGGGUACGUAGGCGGCUAUAUAAGUCAGGUGUGAAAUACCAGUGCUUAACACUGGAAUUGCAUUUGAAACUGUGUAGCUUGAGUGCAGGAGAGGAAAGUGGAAUUCCUAGUGUAGCGGCGAAAUGCGUAGAGAUUAGGAGGAACACCAGUGGCGAAGGCGACUUUCUGGACUGUAACUGACGCUGAGGUACGAAAGCGUGGGUAGCGAACAGGAUUAGAUACCCUGG
rnacentral:rRNA from 1 species